rnacentral:lncRNA from 1 species
GGUCAAAUUACUAAGAAACUAUGCUAAGAUAACUGAUAAAGUUUUUAAUCCCCAUCUAAUUGAUAAGUCAUGGCCUCUCUUGGGUGAGUAUUGAUGUUAAAUAUGCCUGCUAUAAAUUUGUAAUCCAAUGUGUAUGAGAUACAUCAUAUUUUUUUUUUUUGAUAGGCAAACACACAACAAAAAUAUAUUAGAAAAGGGCGCCUUGAGGCUGACCCAAGCAUACAGGAUGUAUACAAGAGGCGCCAAUAGGCAUAAAAAGAAAAAGAGAUACAAUACCAGCCCUCAACUAGUGCCUAGCCAAUCAAAAAAACUGAUCAAAGGAAUAGGACCAUCAUUUACAACCGAUUUAGUCCACAGCCAAAGAUUACAAACAAAAGAAUUCUUCAACCUAUGAAUUGAUAACUCUUCAUUAUCAAAAGCUAUCCUGUUUCUUUCCUUCCAAACCGCCCAAAAAAUGCACAACGGGGCUGCGUUCCACACCUUCCUACGCUUCUUGCCCAACUUAAAGCCACUCCAACCACUAAGAGUAUCUCUAACCGAAGAAGGGAGGACCCAAGUAACACCAAACAGAGCAAACAAUAACUCCCAUAACCCUCUUGCCUUAGAGCACUGAAUAAGAAUAUGAUCAAUUGACUCUUCUUCCAUACCGCAAAGGAAGCAUCUAUUAGCUAGAGACCGGCCCCUCUUUUUAAGUUGAUCCAAGGUUAGCACCUUACCCCAAUAAGCUUCCCAAGCAAAGAAGCUCACUUUGGUAGGCACACAAGUACUCCAAAUAUUACUAUAGGGGAAUUGAACAUCUCUUCUUGAAGCUAGCGAACUAUAAAGGGACUUAACUGAGAAAAUCCCAUCUUUAGUCUCUUUCCACAGCAUUCUAUCUUCCAAAAGAGGAUUAAGCCUCCUACCCCGGAUUGUCAGAAGUAAUCUCUCCACCUCCUCCACCUCCCAGUCAUUAUAGGACCUAGAGAAGCUAGGAUUCCAAACCCCUUCAUCUCCCGAAUAAUCCCAUAACUCCUCUAGCCAAGCCUCUUUAAAUGAAGCAAAGGCAUACAAAGAGGGAAACAAAUUACUGAGAGAGAAAUUCCCACACCAAUUAUCAUUCCAAAAUUUUACCCUUCUACCAUUCCCCACAGAAAAGACAACUUUGUUUUGCAAGAGAGCUCCUUCCUUCCUUAUUUCCUUCCACAAGCUUACUCCAAACCCCUCCCUAACUUCUCUAGUAUACCAGCCCCCUUGUUCCUCCCCGAACUUCCUACCAAUGACUUGCCUCCAAAGAGCCUCCCUUUCAUUCGCAAACCGCCAAUUCCACUUGCAUAAAAGGGCUCUAUUAAGAGUAGUCAAACGUCUAACUCCCAAACCACCCUUCCUUAUGUCCGAGCACACGGAAUCCCAAUUUACUAGAUGAGGCUUCCUCUCCAAAGCUCCACCCCCCCACAAAAAAUCCCUUUGAAUUUUUUCCAAUCUUAAACUAACCACUCUUGGCAUUCGAAGUAACGACAUCAAGUAUAUGGGCAUACUUGACAAAGUACUACGAAUUAGGGUAAUUCUACCGCCUUUGGAGAUAUAAUUCCUUUUCCACAAGGCAAGCCUUCUCCGAAAUCUCUCUUCCACCCCAUCCCAAACAGCCACGGACUUGUGAUUCGCCCCCAAAGGGAUCCCCAAGUAAGAAUUUGGCAGCCUUCCCACUUUACAACCAACCUCAAGAGCCAAAGCCUCCAAAUUCUCUACUCUCCCAACCAGCAAAAUCUCGCUCUUAUCCAAAUUAAUCCUCAAACCUGAUAUGGCUUCAAACCACAUCAACAACCAGCUUAAAUGAGCCAUCUGAUCUUGGGAAGCUUCACAAAAAACUAAAGUAUCAUCGGCGAACAGCAAAUGAGUUACCAUAGCCCCGUCUCCACUUCUUCCUUCUAUCCUGCAGCCCGAAAGAAAACCCCCCCUCACUGCUCUAAAGAUGAGCCUACUAAGAGCCUCCAUCCCGAUAACAAAUAGGUAGGGAGAGAGAGGAUCUCCCUGACGCAAACCCUUGAACUAUUGAAAAAACCGGCUGGAGAGCCAUUGAUCAAAACUGAAAACGUCGCUGUGGAGAUACACCAGGAGAUCCAGCCAGUCCACUUCUCCCCAAACCCCAUUCUUUGCAAUACCAAUAGUAGAAAAUCCCAAUUCAAGUGAUCGUACGCCUUCUCUAUAUCUAGCUUACACAACACCCCAUAUAUGAGAUACAUCAUAUUGAGCAACUUGUAACAUAUUUUAUGAGUUUUGUUUGGAUUUGCUUGAAUGUUGUGGAGUAUGCUUCUAUAAAAUGUUUGCCCAAAA